rnacentral:lncRNA from 1 species
UGCCGGUUUAGGUUUAAGGCAUAUCAAUUACAAUAGUUUUUUAGUUUCAAUUAACUUAGUUACAGAUCAUUGGGUUAUUGGCAUCCACAAUUAUAUAAUUACUCCAUGAAUCUAUUUAUUUUUAUUUUCAAAAAUUAUAGAUCAUAUCUUUCAGAGGUCAGAGCUGUCACAGUCGAGGAGAGAGCUUUCAUACAGCUAGCUCGUAUGGUUCUGCACUAGACAUACCAUGCAGUAAACUCUAAUACUUUAGAUAUUCUUUUUUAUGUUAUGUUAUCUUUUGUUAUCU